GGAGGGUACAGCUCAAGUGGUAGAGUGCAUGCUCAGCACACAUGAGGUCCUGGGUUCAAUCCCCAGUACCUCCA
rnacentral:tRNA from 1 species